rnacentral:tRNA from 1 species
GGAGAGUUGGCUGAGAGGCUUAAAGCACCAGGUUGCUAACUUGGCGUCCCGAAAGGGGCCAUUGGUUCAAAUCCAAUACUCUCCU